rnacentral:rRNA from 2 species
GACGAACGCUGGCGGCGUGCCUAAUACAUGCAAGUCGAACGAACUCUGGUAUUGAUUGGUGCUUGCAUCAUGAUUUACAUUUGAGUGAGUGGCGAACUGGUGAGUAACACGUGGGAAACCUGCCCAGAAGCGGGGGAUAACACCUGGAAACAGAUGCUAAUACCGCAUAACAACUUGGACCGCAUGGUCCGAGUUUGAAAGAUGGCUUCGGCUAUCACUUUUGGAUGGUCCCGCGGCGUAUUAGCUAGAUGGUGGGGUAACGGCUCACCAUGGCAAUGAUACGUAGCCGACCUGAGAGGGUAAUCGGCCACAUUGGGACUGAGACACGGCCCAAACUCCUACGGGAGGCAGCAGUAGGGAAUCUUCCACAAUGGACGAAAGUCUGAUGGAGCAACGCCGCGUGAGUGAAGAAGGGUUUCGGCUCGUAAAACUCUGUUGUUAAAGAAGAACAUAUCUGAGAGUAACUGUUCAGGUAUUGACGGUAUUUAACCAGAAAGCCACGGCUAACUACGUGCCAGCAGCCGCGGUAAUACGUAGGUGGCAAGCGUUGUCCGGAUUUAUUGGGCGUAAAGCGAGCGCAGGCGGUUUUUUAAGUCUGAUGUGAAAGCCUUCGGCUCAACCGAAGAAGUGCAUCGGAAACUGGGAAACUUGAGUGCAGAAGAGGACAGUGGAACUCCAUGUGUAGCGGUGAAAUGCGUAGAUAUAUGGAAGAACACCAGUGGCGAAGGCGGCUGUCUGGUCUGUAACUGACGCUGAGGCUCGAAAGUAUGGGUAGCAAACAGGAUUAGAUACCCUGGUAGUCCAUACCGUAAACGAUGAAUGCUAAGUGUUGGAGGGUUUCCGCCCUUCAGUGCUGCAGCUAACGCAUUAAGCAUUCCGCCUGGGGAGUACGGCCGCAAGGCUGAAACUCAAGGGAAUUGACGGGGGCCCGCACAAGCGGUGAGCAUGUGGUUUAAUUCGAAGCUACGCGAAGAACCUUACCAGGUCUUGACAUACUAUGCAAAUCUAAGAGAUUAGACGUUCCCUUCGGGGACAUGGAUACAGGUGGUGCAUGGUUGUCGUCAGCUCGUGUCGUGAGAUGUUGGGUUAAGUCCCGCAACGAGCGCAACCCUUAUUAUCAGUUGCCAGCAUUAAGUUGGGCACUCUGGUGAGACUGCCGGUGACAAACCGGAGGAAGGUGGGGAUGACGUCAAAUCAUCAUGCCCCUUAUGACCUGGGCUACACACGUGCUACAAUGGAUGGUACAACGAGUUGCGAACUCGCGAGAGUAAGCUAAUCUCCUAAAGCCAUUCUCAGUUCGGAUUGUAGGCUGCAACUCGCCUACAUGAAGUCGGAAUCGCUAGUAAUCGCGGAUCAGCAUGCCGCGGUGAAUACGUUCCCGGGCCUUGUACACACCGCCCGUCACACCAUGAGAGUUUGUAACACCCAAAGUCGGUGGGGUAACCUUUUAGGAACCAGCCGCCUAAGGUGGGACAGAUGAUUAGGGUG